rnacentral:sRNA from 1 species
CUGACAACCCUGAACACUGAAGUCCUUUCUUUGGCCACAGAAUAGGUGCAGCCUGGGCAGUGGCAGAGCAAGCUUCCCUCACGCCACCCCCAUUGACGUGACUUAGCCCCAGCUGGAGCCUCACCUGCAGGGGCAAAAGAGAAAUGGAGUCUCUGUGGCAAUUCAAUCCUGGGCCUCU